UACGAAGGGGGCUAGCGUUGCUCGGAAUCACUGGGCGUAAAGGGUGCGUAGGCGGGUCUUUAAGUCAGGGGUGAAAUCCUGGAGCUCAACUCCAGAACUGCCUUUGAUACUGAGGAUCUUGAGUCCGGGAGAGGUGAGUGGAACUGCGAGUGUAGAGGUGAAAUUCGUAGAUAUUCGCAAGAACGCCAGUGGCGAAGGCGGCUCACUGGCCCGAUACUGACGCUGAGGUGCGAAAGCGUGGGGAGCAAACAGG
rnacentral:rRNA from 1 species